GGUGGAGGAAACCUCAUUAGUGGGGCUACAAGCUGAGUGUGUCACAACAUUCUACCACAGCCCUUGGGAAGGUAUGAGACUAGGGCCCUGAGCCCAAGGGAGGUGAGUUCCCAGAGAGUGGGGCUCUGCUUGACAGCAGCCUGGGCAGCAGGUGGUGCCAGGGCUAGUUUAGGUGGCAGACAGUUUAGUUAGAUGUCUCUUCAGAGGAGUGGGAUGGGGCAGGUGGUGAUGACCAAGGAAGCAUGGGAGAAUGUGUGGUUUUGUAGCUGGUAGAGAAGUGGGGGAGUCUUAAGCAGCCUAGAUAUGGUGUCAUCAAUCCCCACAAC
ensembl:ribozyme RNaseP_nuc Nuclear RNase P